AAGUGGGAAACGAUGUGGGAAGGCCCAGACAGCCAGGAUGUUGGCUUAGAAGCAGCCAUCAUUUAAAGAAAGCGUAAUAGCUCACUGGUCGAGUCGGCCUGCGCGGAAGAUGUAACGGGGCUAAACCAUGCACCGAAGCUGCGGCAGCGACACUAUGUGUUGUUGGGUAGGGGAGCGUUCUGUAAGCCUGCGAAGGUGUACUGUGAGGUAUGCUGGAGGUAUCAGAAGUGCGAAUGCUGACAUAAGUAACGAUAAAGCGGGUGAAAAGCCCGCUCGCCGGAAGACCAAGGGUUCCUGUCCAACGUUAAUCGGGGCAGGGUGAGUCGACCCCUAAGGCGAGGCCGAAAGGCGUAGUCGAUGGGAAACAGGUUAAUAUUCCUGUACUUGGUGUUACUGCGAAGGGGGGACGGAGAAGGCUAUGUUGGCCGGGCGACGGUUGUC
rnacentral:rRNA from 1 species